AAGCCUGCGAGAGGGGGAAAGAACACGGCACGCUUACCCUCGGGCUCUGCAGGCUGGCCUCUCCAGCCCACACGUGUGCACCGCCCUCCCCCCACAGGACCACGGGGCUGGCGUGUCCCACUGGGUGGCUCCACGGCACGGGCCGGGACAGCCCGGAGUCCGAACCCCAGCUCCGCCCAAACCUGCACGAGGUCUCUAAGCCCCCUGUGCCUUAGUUUCCUCAUCUGCAAAAUGGGGAUAAUAUCACUUCUGCUCAGACUGCUGUGAAAACGGACUAAAUGGACCCAGGAAAAGCAUUUAGGACGGUGCCCGGCACACAGUAAACACAAAAUAAAUGACGUCUGCUACUACUGUCAUCCGCUGAGAGUCUGAGAAGAGACAGAGAAGCUUCCCUGAAGGGACCGUUCUGCGUGUCAGAGAAGUACAACUACACAGAGGAAAUGCAAGGAGCUUCCAGGUCUGCUUGGUCUGGCCGAAUGGAAACUCCUAGAAUCCCAGCAUUGUCUGCCCUAAAGUCUGUCCAUGAGUCUGAGGCCUUCCUCCCCAACCAGUUACCAUUAUUUGGUGAUGAGAGGUGGGAUCCAGAGAAGACCUGCGGCAGCUCGGGAGCUGGUGAGCAACCAGGGCAGGUGCCCACGGAGUUCAGUGAGCUGCCUUCCUGUUGACCUUGGAGUUUUGAAGGUCACACAAAUGAUUUUAUCGACCUCCCUCUGUGUGUCUGUAGACCUUGCUCUGGUAAAACGCAGUAUGCUUGCACAUCACAAACAUGAACCAGAGCCCCGAGCACUGAGAUAAUGUUUGUAGCUGGCAUCAUCCAGUCUGCACACGAUGAGGGAAUGUUGCAGGCCACUGCACUCCCUUUGCUGAUUACCCUAAACCCUCUAUAAACCCCCCUGGGCUAGGUAGAAACUUCAGAGUUGGCUUUUGGACAAGAGCCUGCCUUCUCCCCAGGUGGCCAGCCUUUUGAAUAAAGCUUAUAUUCCUUUUCAAUCAAAAGCUCAUCUCUUUGAGUACUGGCAUCUUCAGGGACGGGAAGCCCCACUUGGGUUUGGUAGCACUUUAACCCACCAUUGAUAAAAGGCAUGCUUCAACACUGGAGAGGCCUAAUUGCUUCUUUAAAAACAGCCAUGCUUCAGUCUUCUCACCGUGUAUUACCGGAAGACAAAGACCUUGAGCAUCACACGUUGCAACCUGGACUUUUUUCUGGAGGUGUCUUUUCCAAUAGACAAGAUUCUGUUCAACCUUGCCAGUAAGGCACUGUUGACCAAUCCUGUGCUGACAAACACCAGAGAACAGACUCCUGGAUCCACGAGACCCCUCUAUAGAGAGCACCACAGCCUGACUGGACCUGCACGCCAUCCGAUGACCUGAAAAUCCGGAUUUCCCGGCCCCGGAGCAGACGACAUCUGAUGAGAUCUCUGGAUCAGACCUGUUAGAAGGUUCGGGGUUCACAGGAGUUUCUUUCAUUUGGAUAUUAAUGGACUCCUCUGGAGUCUUACCCGAAAUUCAUGGCUUCUGAAUUUUCGACUUUACUGUAUUAUUAGUAAUACACCUAAGUUCCAGCAGUUCUGAGAUAACAAUGCUGCUUUUCAACAUCUUUGAAGUUUUGCUGUUUU